GCGGACGUGGCGGAAUUGGUAGACGCGCUGGAUUUAGGUUCCAGUCCUUACGGGUCAGAGUUCGAGUCUCUGCGUCCGCA
rnacentral:tRNA from 2 species